CUCUCUUCUGCUUUGCCGUGGUAAGACGUGCCUGCUUCCCCUUCGCCUUUUGCCAUGAUUGUAAGUUUCCUGAGGCCUCCUAGCCAUGCUUCCUGUUAAGCCUGCAGAACUAGUCUUGCUCUGUCACCCAGGCUGGAAUCCAGUGGCACGAUCUUGGCCCACUGCAACCUCCAUCUUCCAGGUUCAAGAGAUUCUCCUGCCUCAGCCUCCCGAGUAGCUGGGAUUACAGGCACAUGCCACCAUGCCCGGCUAAUUUUUGUAUUUUUAGUAGAGAAGGGGUUUCAUCACAUUGGCCAGGCUGAUCUCGAACUCCUGACCUCAAGUGAUGUGUCCGCCUUGGCCUCCCAAAGUAAUGGGAUUACAGGCAUGAGUCACUGCACCUGGUCUGGAAUAUCCUUAAUUCUUUAUCUUCCUUCUCUUUACCCCAAGAAUUAAAGAUUAAUUACAUCACAUUAAAAAAUAUAUCAUCUGACUCUCACAUUAUACAUGGAUUGAACAUAAUUAACCAAACUAAGGGCAACUUUAUCAUGUGGUGGUUAUACAAAUGAUAGAAAAACAAAUUUGAGGGAUAUACUGUUUAAAAAGGAAGAUAGACACUUCCAUUAUCAUUAUCAUCAACAAAGUCAAGUUGAGUUUAUUGUUCAUGUGGAAUGCUGUUGGAAGUUGCUGGUUUUUCUUGGCUGCUGGCAUAAGGAAAGUGUUAUACCUCUGACCAGGUAUCUUAUUGGGAUGUGACGUCUUGGGAGUGGGGCCAGGCCCUUCUGAGUUGGUCCCCACUUCCCAAUGACACCCUGAGGCUGUCUUGAGUGUCAUAUCCCAGGGCCAAGACUUUCUCCUAUGACAAAUAGACAAAUAGACAUGCUGGUAGACACACCAGCUCACACUAUUGUGGUGCUUCACUCCCAGAAGGCCUGGUGUCCCUGCAAUGUAACAAGCCUCUCUAAUAGCCCAACAAAUGGGGAGUUACUGGCUUCAGUCAAAAUAACUAAACACCAUUUCUUGACUGUCUGCUAUAUGCAUUGCACACUUUACGUGCAUUCUUGUUUAAUACUUGCAGCAAAACUGUAAGGUAGGUGUUAUCCUCACUUUACAGAUGAGGACAUUGAAUGUGGCAAAGACAGUUCUAUGUGUUGUGCAAGUCCCACUGUGCUUUUCUUUGGUGCACAAGAAGACUGCACUCCUCAAUACCCUUGCAGUUAGCUUGGGACCAUGUGACUAGCUCUAGCCAGUGGUAAAUGAAAUGGCCACACAUCAUUUCCAGAUGCAGCAUGAAAGUGUGGUUAUGUGUACUCCACAUUCUCUCUUUUCCAUCAUGUUUUGAGCUGGCAUUGUCACUAAAGAGAGGCAGGAUGCAUUGCUGAGUCAUCACAUCGGGGGCAGCCACCUUGGUGAAUCACCCAAUUCACAGAGGACUUCAUGUGAGUAAAAGAAACCUGUGUUUUAUACAACCACUAAUAUUUUGAGGCUUAUUUGUUACUGAAGCAUAGCGCAGCCUUUCCUGACUAACACAUUGAGCCCCAGAGGGAACAAGUGAACUCGUCAUGAUUCCAUAUAUGCUGGUCUAGAACUCCCACUCAGAUCUAUGACUACAAAGCCCCUUUUAUCCUUUCCGCUCUUAUUUCUUUGAUUAGGACAUACAGGAGGGCUAAAGUCCACAAUGCAACAUUUAAUAUUCCUUGAGUAUGGGACAUUACACUGCAAUUUUCUUUGCCUUCUUACUCCUUACCUGCCUGCAAGUGAUGGUCAGAGGAAGCACGUUGGUGGCUGGAUUACUGGAUGUCCAAAUGACAUUUAUCACCCCCGCAAACACACUUUUUUCUUUUUUGUUGUUUUGUUUGAGAUGGAGUCUCACUCUGUUGCCCAGGCUGGAGUGCAGUGGCGCAAUUUCGGUUCACUGCAACCUCUGUUUUCUGGGUUCAAGUAAGUCUCCUGCUUCAGCCUCCCAACUAGCUGGGAUUACAGGUACACACCACCACACCUGGCUAAUUUUUGUAUUUUUAGUAGAGACGGGGUUUCACCAUGUUAUGUUGGCCAGGCUGGUCUUGAACUCCUGACCUCAAGUGAUCCACCCACCUUGGCCUCCCAAAGUGUUGGGAUUACAGGUGUGAGCCACUGUGCACCCGGCUCCCCACCCCUGCCUACUUUUUUAACCAAAGUAGUUAUGUGUAAGUAGAGUGCUACCCUUCUUGGAGGAUAGUGACCAGAUGACCCACUCUUCUUUUGCCAAGGAGUAGAUGGUUUAAUGUGAGCCACCCAUCCACACUCAAGGGCUAGAUCCAUAUGACCAGGGAAUUCACUAGAUGGUUGAGUGGAAUAAAGAAAAGAGAACCCCAGAUUAGAGAAAUCACAUGUAAUGUCCACAUGGGCCCUAGAGCUUCUGCAUGACUCCAAAAGAAGGUAUCAUACUGGUGAUAUGGUAGGACCAGAGAGAGGGCCAAGAAGGGUAUCAUUCUAGUUACACAUAACUACUUUGGUUAAAAAAGUAGGCAGGGGUCGGGGGCCGGGCACAUGGUGGCUCACGUUUGUAAUCUUAGCACUUUGGGAGCCCAGCGUGGGUGGAUCACUUGAGGUCAGGAGUUCAAGACCAGCCUGGCCAACAUAACAUGGUGAAACCCUGUCUCUACUAAAAAUACAAAAUGGGUUAUACCAAGUUUGUAUGUGGUUAUUCACAAAGAUUUGAUUAUUUACAUUGAGCAUUCAUUCGUUGGUCAUUUUUAAUGUUUCCAAUGUUGAGAAAAUAAAGAUCUAUGAAAUAAAUGCCUUUCCCUGAAGGAGCUAACCAUCUUGAUGGCAAACCAAACAAGUGAACAAUUAUAACUCACCACAAAAGAUACUACACUUUAUAGACACAAGCAUGGCAGGCUUUGGGAUUGUGGAAGCAGGCCUCCAGGCUCAGCUGGGUAGGAUAUGGGAGAGUCAGGAAGGACUUUCACAGGAGUAGCCCCCGGGCAGACUGUGAAAACCCAAGUAGUCCCAGCAAUAGAGCUGCGUAUGAAAUCAUAAAAUUGGUGUUGUUCUACCUUCAAGAUUCUCUAGGGUAGAUCAUCCUUAUUAGCUCGAGCCCUUGACCUCACACAAUCCAUGGAUAUCUCAGGGGUUCUGCAAAACUCCCAAUAUUGAAUCUGAAAUUUUGUGUGCGGAAAGUUUUUCUGGUCAUACUUUAAACAGAUUCUCAGAGGUUUCUUUGACCUCCAAAAAUGUUAUCAUCAUAGCCCCAGAGGACACAGCAGUUCUUUGGGAAGCCUAGCUACUGUGUGGUUGAGAAAUCUGCUUGCCUGCAGAGAUAUAAUUGUGAAAAUGAACUCAUGGAGAAUAAUUUCACUCCAAGGACUUUUCCCCAAUAUUUUUGUGCCUGGAACUUAAUAAGGCAAAAUGGUUUAUAAACUCAAUGCCAAGGCAUUGCUUGCCUACAUUAUAUACACAUACACUCAGAACUUUUCUAGAAAAUUCAAACCAUAGAGAUAAACAUAUAAUUAACAUUAGAAGGCUUUCUUCCACUCAUCACCUUUGCCACUAACUGCUCUCUUUCCCCAAAGGCAAGCACUGUUAGUUGGUCCUUGUAUUUCCAGGGGAAAAAUAUGAAUUGCUACCAAUAUAUAUGUAUUUUUAUUUAAUCUGAAGGGAUCAAGUUGUACAUACCACUCUGAGCCUUGCUUUUUUUCUCUGUAUAUAUGAAUAAUUGGUACAUCUCAGAGAUAAUUCUGUAGCAAGCUCAUGCCAGUCUAUCUGAUUCUCUGUGUGGCUCAGGGAGUCUUUCCUUGUUGGGUGGUACUGCCAUGGGGCAGGGUGGGGGAGGUGCUCAGCUCCUGGCAUGAUGCUCCUUGAGGUUGCUUAUCCAUCUUGUUUAAUGUACUUUUGCAAGUAUUUUCCUAGACUAAAUUCCUAGCAUGGAAUUGCUGGGUUAAAGGGUACGUGCAUUCACAAUGUUGAUCAAUAUUACCAAAUUGCCCCUUAACAUAGUUGAACUAAUACAUAUUCUUACCCACAGUAGAUGAGAGUGCCUAUUUCUGCACACGACUUGUAUUAUCAAAUAUUCUAAUUUCUGCCAACAUAAUAGGGAGCAAAGUUUGUCAUCUUGAUACACUAGAUCUUUGAUGAUAUCAAUAAGGAAACAUCCACACCCUUUGGUUAAAAGACUCUGAGACUUCAAGGACUGCUGGCUGUUCAGAAGAGGCUGUGGUGGUUCAAGUGAGGCUCAAGGCUGUAGUUAUACCAAUCUGUUACUCCAUGAAGAGUCCAAGGCUGCUGAACAGAGUGAACCUCAGAACAGAUAGCAGUGGCACCUAGAAGAUAUAAUCUCAACAGCAGAUGAGUUAUUGAGGGAUGAUUGCUGAUUAUGGAUUCCUCUUCAUCUCUCUUAACUUAUAUUCCAAGCUGUUAACCUAGAAUAAAUCCUACUAUAUCUAAUUAAUGCAUUAAUCAAACUUUGUUUUGAAUGGAAGGGGGGAGAAUAUGUUGAUUACCCCGGCUAGUGGGAUACAAAAUAUACCUAAAGCAGAAUAUCUUUCUCCAUCAUGAAUAACAUUAAUCUCUGCAGUUCUUACAAGUGAAUAAUUAUUAUAUAGUUUGUUUCCUAUUUGUCUGGCUUGGUAUUUAUCCUUUAUGAGUUUCCAGGUGACAAUUUGUUUCAGGAAGAAUUCUCCAGAAACAAUUUUUUAAGAUUAUCGUCAAAUUCCUUAAUAAAGAGUUGAAAGCCAAACUCACUAGGUGAAAUGCAACAACAACCAAUGGGCAACAGACUGAUCUCCAACUUCCUGAAUUCUUUUUUUUUUUUUUUUUUUGAGACAGGGUCUCUCUCUGUCGAUCAGGCUGGAGUGCAGUGGCUCAAUCUUGGCUCACUGCAGCCUCCACCUCCCAGGCCCAAGCAAUCCCGAGUAGUAGGGACUCAGGCACGCACCACGACACCUGGCUAAUUUUUUGUAUUUUUGGUAGAGAGAGGGUUUCACCAUGUUGCCCAGGCUGGUCUUGAGCUCCUGAGCUCAAAGUAUUUGCUUGCCUCAGCCUCCCAAAGUGCUGGGGUUACAGGCGUGAGCCACCGUGCCAGGCCUUUAAUUCUUAAUUGCCGCCAGGAUUGAUUGGUAAGGCUGUAGAAGAGUUGCUGUCCAUUCCAAGUCUUCCCAUCUGAAGCAACCACCAUGCCACAGCCUUAUUCUGUCCCAUGGCUGUUUUGUGCAUCUCCAAGUGUACCAGUGUGAGGCCCUCAAACACACCCAUGCCCUCUGAUGAAAUAAUGUUGGUCGUGAUAACCACAGGGAUGUCACAGCCGCCGUUCCACACUCUAACUAAUUCUUAUUUUGUUCCAACAACAACAAUUUGAAAUGGGAAGAACCACCCCAUUUUAGACAUUUCAAAACGAGGGCUUGGAUAGAUUAUGUACCUUGUCCAAGGUCACACAACCAAAUGGCAAGGUACGGACUCAACCUAGUUCCAUCUGCCUCCAGUCCAAAACCCAGAGCUCUCAACUGCCACCCUCAUUGUCUCUACUAGAUACGGGCUUCCCUGCGGUAACUGUUGAGGCUGGAAAACACAGGCCUGAGAGAACUUUUAAAUAUGAAAUGAUAACUCUUUGCCUACUGAGAUUCUUAUUUUUAAAAACCCAGAGGAAGAUCAUAUUUAUAUAUUUAUUCAACAUUCACGUAUGAUAUUUAGAUUUACAAAAUGCUUUAUAGUGUAACAGAAUGGGCAGAAAUUUUUACUCGGGCUUAUAAUUGUCUUUUCUUUCAUAUUCAUUUAUUCCUUUGAUUUAUAUAAUGUGUUCUCUGCUUGGUCUUCUGAGAUUACGUACAAUGGUAACAAAUCGAAAAUAAUAUUAAUAAAAGAUUAUUUUGUAUCACUCACAGGGAAAACUGACUGGGGCCAUGCGCCUCUCUGUUCUUUAGAAACGUUAUGCGAGAGAACAUAAUAUUGUCCCCAGAAUACUGUCUGUAAUGCCGGCUAUGCUUAUUCGUGGUGCUUUAAAAAUAAAUUUAACUCCUGUUCUUCAU
rnacentral:lncRNA from 1 species